rnacentral:rRNA from 1 species
AUUGAACGCUGGCGGCAGGCCUAACACAUGCAAGUCGAACGAGUGGCGGACGGGUGAAUAAUGUCUGGGAAACUGCCUGAUGGAGGGGGAUAACUCCUGGAAACGGUAGCUAAUACCGCAUACCAUCAGAGGUGCCCAGAUGGGAUUAGCUAGUUGGUGGGGUAACGGCUCACCAAGGCGACGAUCCCUAGCUGGUCUGAGAGGAUGACCAGCCACACGGGAACUGAGACACGGUCCAGACUCCUACGGGAGGCAGCAGUGGGGAAUAUUGCACAAUGGGCGCAAGCCUGAUGCAGCCAUGCCGCGUGUAUGAAGAAGGCCUUCGGGUUGUAAAGUACUUUCAGCGGGGAGGCGUUACCCGCAGAAGAAGCACCGGCUAACUCCGUGCCAGCAGCCGCGGUAAUAC